UACGUAGGGGGCAAGCGUUGUCCGGAAUCAUUGGGCGUAAAGCGCGUGUAGGCGGCUUGGCAAGUCUGCUCUGAAAGCCCGGGGCUCAACCCUGGGAGGCGGGUGGAUACUGCUGAGCUCGAGUCCGGAAGAGGCGAGUGGAAUUCCCGGUGUAGCGGUGAAAUGCGCAGAUAUCGGGAAGAACACCCGUGGCGAAGGCGGUUCUCUGGGACGGUACUGACGCUGAGACGCGAAAGCGUGGGGAGCGAACAGG
rnacentral:rRNA from 1 species